UGGGGAAUUUUGGACAAUGGGCGCAAGCCUGAUCCAGCCAUGCCGCGUGCGGGAAGAAGGCCUUCGGGUUGUAAACCGCUUUUGUCAGGGAAGAAAUCCUUUGAGCUAAUACCUCGGGGGGAUGACGGUACCUGAAGAAUAAGCACUGGCUAACUACGUGCCAGCAGCCGCGGUAAUACGUAGGGUGCAAGCGUUAAUCAGACUUACUGGGCGUAAAGCGUGCGCAGGCGGUUAUAUAAGACAGAUGCGAAAUCCCCGGGCUCAACCUGGGAACUGCAUUUGUGACUGAAUAGCGAGAGUACGGCAGAGGAGGAUGGAAUUCCGCGUGUAGCAGUGAAAUGCGUAGAUAUGCGGAGGAACACCGAUGGCGGAGGCAAUCCCCUGGGCCUGUACUGACGCUCAUGCACGAAAGCGUGGAGAGCAAACA
rnacentral:rRNA from 1 species